rnacentral:rRNA from 1 species
AUACUCUUAGCGGUGGAUCACUUGGCUCGUGGAUCGAUGAAGAACGCAGCUAGCUGCGAUAACUAGUGCGAAUUGCAGACACAUUGAGCACAAAAAUUUCGAACGCAAAUUGCGCCAUCGGGUUUAUUCCCCUUGGCACGUCUGGCUGAGGGUCGGU